rnacentral:rRNA from 1 species
UGGAGAGUUUGAUCCUGGCUCAGAUUGAACGCUGGCGGCAGGCCUAACACACGCAAGUCGAGCGGUAGAGAGAAGCUUGCUUCUCUUGAGAGCGGCGGACGGGUGAGUAAUGCCUAGGAAUCUGCCUGGUAGUGGGGGAUAACGUUCGGAAACGGACGCUAAUACCGCAUACGUCCUACGGGAGAAAGCAGGGGACCUUCGGGCCUUGCGCUAUCAGAUGAGCCUAGGUCGGAUUAGCUAGUUGGUGGGGUAAUGGCUCACCAAGGCGACGAUCCGUAACUGGUCUGAGAGGAUGAUAAAUCACACUGGAACUGAGACACGGUCCAGACUCCUACGGGAGGCAGCAGUGGGGAAUAUUGGACAAUGGGCGAAAGCCUGAUCCAGCCAUGCCGCGUGUGUGAAGAAGGUCUUCGGAUUGUAAAGCACUUUAAGUUGGGAGGAAGGGGUGUAGAUUAAUACUCUGCAAGUUUGACGGUUACCGACAGAAUAAGCACCGGCUAACUCUGUGCCAGCAGCCGCGGUA